AUUGAACGCUGGCGGCAGGCCUAACACAUGCAAGUAGUGCGAGCGGCGGACGGGUUAGUAAUGUAUGGGGAUCUGCCUGAUGGCGGGGGAUAACUACUGGAAACGGUAGCUAAUACCGCAUACCAUCAGUUGACCCCAUAUGGGAUUGGCUAGUAGGUAAGGUACCGGCUUACCUAGGCGACGAUCCCUAGCUGGUCUGAGAGGCUGAUUAGCCACACUGGGACUGAGACACGGCCCAGACUCCUACGGGAGGCAGCAGUGGGGAAUAGUGCACAGUGGGCGCAAGCCUGAUGCAGCCAUGCCGCGUGUAUGAAGAAGGCCUUCGGGUUGUAAAGUACUUUCAGUCGGGAGGCGUUACCGACAGAAGAAGCACCGGCUAACUCCGUGCCAGCAGCCGCGGUAAUUC
rnacentral:rRNA from 1 species